UAGGGAAUCUUCGGCAAUGGACGAAAGUCUGACCGAGCAACGCCGCGUGAGUGAAGAAGGUUUUCGGAUCGUAAAACUCUGUUGUUAGAGAAGAACAAGGACGUUAGUAACUGAACGUCCCCUGACGGUAUCUAACCAGAAAGCCACGGCUAACUACGUGCCAGCAGCCGCGGUAAUACGUAGGUGGCAAGCGUUGUCCGGAUUUAUUGGGCGUAAAGCGAGCGCAGGCGGUUUCUUAAGUCUGAUGUGAAAGCCCCCGGCUCAACCGGGGAGGGUCAUUGGAAACUGGGAGACUGGAGUGCAGAAGAGGAGGGUGGAAUUCCAUGUGUAGCGGUGAAAUGCGUAGAUAUAUGGAGGAACACCAGUGGCGAAGGCGGCUCUCUGGUCGGUAACUGACGCUGAGGCUCGAAAGCGUGGGGAGCAAACAGG
rnacentral:rRNA from 1 species